UACGGGGGGGGCAAGCGUUGUUCGGAAUUACUGGGCGUAAAGGGUUCGUAGGUGGCUUGUUAAGUCAGACGUGAAAUCCCUCGGCUCAACCGGGGAACUGCGUCUGAGACUGAUGAGCUCGAGUGCAGGAGAGGAACGCGGAAUUCCAGGUGUAGCGGUGAAAUGCGUAGAUAUCUGGAGGAACACCGGUGGCGAAGGCGAACUCUUUGGCCUGUAACUGACGCUGAGGCGCGAAAGCGUGGGGAGCAAACAGGG
rnacentral:rRNA from 1 species